UGUGGAUGUUGCAUAUGAAGACGAAGUCUCUCGUACAUUUUCCAAGUCUGAAGAAAAUGGUAUAGGACAGUGAUUUUAACCCAUCACCAUGAGCAAAUUCACAUGGAAGAAUCCCAGAUUCUCGAAUAAGGACAUCCAUACAAACCAGAGCUGACAAGGAGGUGAAUGACUAAAAGAUAGUCCAUCCAGUCGGAAAUUGUUCCAGCUACAGCAGGCCUUUGUACCAGGAAAGGGUUUAAAAAUAUUAUCAAGCUAAAGAUUCCACGCCACCUUCACAUAGAUCUGAGCAGCAAAAGUGGCAUCUAAAACUUCAUUUCCCCAGGUCCAAAGGGCUCAAGUCUGAUGUCCAGUCCAUCUCUAAUGCUCCCCCAUUGCAAGAGCUCCUCAAAUACUGUUGCUGUGCAAGAGCAAACUACAUCAUCAUUAAUUAUUUCUACUGUGAUAGCUGCCAGAGCUCCAAUCAGCAGCAAGGCCCUGUUAUGCUAAGUUAGGGAUUCCCAAACUUGGUUAGCGGCUUGUUCAGGUGUAAACCCCUGGUAGGCAGCGAGAUGCUUUGUUUAUCUGAGCGUCCGCAGGUACAGUCACUCACAGCUUCCAGUGGACAUGGUUCACCAUUCCCAACCAAUGGGAACUGAGGGAAGAGGUGGCAAAUACUGAAGUUAGUUAUCUAAGGCAACAGUGCUGUCUUUCCAAAGCACUGGUAUGAACUGCACCAGUAAAUGGAUAUACAUUUCCUGAGAUCAAGGAUAAUGCAAUGAUACUGGAACAGCAG